GGACGUAUGGUCUAGUGGUCAAGACGUCUCGGCUGCAAAGAAUGUUCGUUGCCUUGAAACUGUUACAAUCAUAUAACAGGUGAAAGGGUUCGAAUGAUACAAUGCUCCCUGAGAAGGUCCCGGGUUCGAAUCCCGGUACGUCCA